CAGACGCAACAUUUUUCAACUUUCUGCUCAGAUAUUUGUGACUUUUUUUGCAAUGAAAAUGCGGGGAUUAUGAAAUCAUUCAAGCCCCAAAUUAUUUUGCGUGGAAAUCGGUAAUUUAUGCGGCGAAAUUGCGGCACAUUUGA